rnacentral:lncRNA from 1 species
UAUAAAUGCCAUCACGCUACCUUUGUUUAUCCUAGUAAGUGUUAGUUUGGAAGUACUACACAUACUUCUAUUGGCUUUUAAAUUAAGCGUGGUGCUUAGGUUAAACAGCCUUCCUUAAUCUGAUUAGACCUGGAGUCUAGUUCGGUUAUUGAACUAAAAACUGCUUGUAUAGACAUUGGUAUAUUUUGUCGGACUAACCCUUGCAGAAAAACUUUCAAUAUUGAUUUGGGAAGUCCUGAGAUAAACACACAUUGGAGACAAAGAGAGAGACACAUCAAGUUUAACAAUCUACACAAG